CUUAAUUCAAAGCAAAGUCUGCGCGACACAGUUCCAAUCGUGGAACCGAGUCAUAUCACAGGUAUGGAGGUGAUGAUCACUUUCGUUUGGCAAAACGAAUGGAAGCUAGCACUGGUGCAGUGCCUAGUGAUGUUCAAAUAUACCUUAGGGGGCACAUAGGACCAGAUCCUACAAAUCCAGAUGUGUUGUGCAGCCAAAAGGCAACAGAUCAUGUGGCUGCAUAUGGCGAGACGAUGUCUAGUCAGCACGGACCAGACUAUGACUAGAGGACCUCACCUAUUGAUCCUCAUGCUAUGUAUGCAAGUG